UACAGAGACUGCAAGCGUUAUUCGGAUUCACUGGGCGUAAAGGGUGCGCAGGCGGCCGUGUGUGUUGGGUGUGAAAGCCCGGAGCUUAACUCCGGAAUUGCGCUCAAAACUACACGGCUAGAGUAUUGGAGAGGGUAACGGAAUUCAUGGUGUAGCAGUGAAAUGCGUAGAUAUCAUGAGGAACACCAGAGGCGAAGGCGGUUACCUGGACAAUUACUGACGCUCAGGCACGAAAGCGUGGGGAGCAAAAGGG
rnacentral:rRNA from 1 species